UACAGGAGGAGAAGGGAGCGGGUAGCUAACCGAGCUAGCUGGAUCUUCCCGAUCACGGCUGAACGUGGUCAUGUUGCACACGGUAGGCUUCAUCUCAUGAAAAACGCCCGCGUUGGAUUAUCUCGCUGCUAAAAGGGCAAAGGGACUUGUUGUUUUGUUUUGUGUUUUGAAAGGGAAUAACAAAGCCGGUCCGUGAGGAUUGCGAAUCUGAGCCGUUGCGAGUCAGCGUUAGCUGGCCUAGCCGGACUCGGGAGCUCGUCUCCCAAAACAAGAAUGGGGUCUAGGUCCACUCGGAUUAGCUUGCUAGUAAAGUGACCUUUGAUUGUAUUCUGUGAUGGCAAAUUUCACGAAUUACCAGGAAGGCAAGGCAGCGAUGUUGAUGGUGGAGACGCAGCAGAGGGACGCGGGGACGAAAUCUGCUGCCGCCACCGCAAACGGAGACGGCUCGGUCGGGGAACCCCCUUCCCCGUUAAUUAAUAUCGGCGGAGGAGGAGGAGGAGGAGGCGGCGGCGGCUCUCGUUUCCAUCAACAUUUACCGCCCUCCAACCACCAACACCUCGGCCACCAUCAGCCGCCAAAGGAUCAGCAGCAGCACCACCACUACCAGCUCGCUCCGCAGCUGCAUCUCUCCGGAGAAAACAUCGCGGAGUCCCCGGUAAGGAAAGCCUCCUCCUCGUCUCUCAGCCAGGUAUACGCCGCUGAGGACCCCGCCGCUUCCUCUGCCGCAAGCAGCAGCAGCGGCAGCCAUGUAUACGCGGCUGUGAACGUCGCUAACACCUUAGACGUUGUGGAUGAUAUUCGAAAAUGUGGAUAUUUAAGAAAGCAAAAACACGGACACAAGAGGUUUUUCGUUCUCCGGGCUGCCAGCCACCUCGGGCCGAGCCGCCUGGAGUACUACGACAGCGAGAAGAAAUUCAGGAACAGCCUGCGCUCCGCUGCCGCGGCCGCCGCCAGCGGCGGAGCGGUCGCCCCGUCUCCCCCGAAAAGGGUUAUUUACCUCUACCAGUGCUUCACGGUAAACAAAAGGGCGGACUCUAAAAACAAACACCUCAUUGCCCUUUAUACUAAGGACGAGUACUUUGCCAUUGUGGCUGAAAACGAGCAGGAGCAAGAGGACUGGUACGUAGCUGUCAGUGAGUUAAUGAGUGAGGGCAAAAAAGGGCACUUGGAUUCUGACGACCUAGAUGAUGGCUAUGGUACAGUCACGCCUGGUACUGUGUUUAAAGAGGUGUGGCAGGUGAAUGUGAAACCUAAAGGACUGGGUCAAACUAAAAACCUCACAGGUGUUUACCGGCUAUGCCUCUCAACUAAAACCAUUCACCUCGUAAAGUUGAACUCAGAAACCCCCUGUGUUAACCUUCAGCUGAUGAACAUCAGACGCUGUGGACAUUCAGAAAGCUUCUUUUUCAUUGAGGUGGGUCGCUCCUCCUCUAUUGGGCCCGGGGAGAUAUGGAUGCAGGUGGAUGAUUCUGUUGUGGCCCAAAACAUGCAUGAGACCAUCUUGGAGACAAUGAAAGCCCUGAAAGCGUAUGCAGAGUUUCGGCCCAGGAGUAAGAGCCAGUCAUCAGGCUCCAACCCCAUGCCGUUUAUCACAACACGGCGCCACCUGGGCAACCUGCCACCGAGCCAGACGGGCCUGCAGCGGCGGUCGAGGACGGAGUCAGUCGUCGGCACGCCGCCAUCAAGUAAGAGCUCUGGGGCUAGUGGUUAUCGCUUUCGAACAUCCAGUGAGGGUGAGGGGACAAUGAACCGGCCGUUCCGCUCCGCCACAGGAAGCCUGGUUCACCUUAACUCAGCGCGUGCCCAUCAUGGUCGUCAGGAAGGGGGUAGCAGCGGCGGAAGUGGUGUCGCCACAGGAAACGCUGGCACCAGCACUGGUAGCGCACGCUACGUCAGAGCCAUCCCAGGGUCAUCGUCGUCUAUCUACCACGCCCGCUCCGCAUCGCUGCCAGUCUCCCACUUCCCCUCCACCACCAGUCCAGUGAGCGUCUCCUCCAGCAGUGGCCACGGCUCCGUCUCUGACACGCUCACCCGCCCAUCAAGUGCCUCGAUAUGCGGCUCCCCAUCUGAUGGCGGCUUCAACUCCUCAGAUGAGUAUGGCUCCAGUCCUGGUGACUUCCGGUACUUCCGGGUGCGGAGUAACACACCAGACUCCCUGGGCAACACCCCACCAAUCAGAGAAGAGAACUGUCUAAACGAUUACAUGGCCAUGGGCUGGAACCGGGAAGUCUUCGGCACCACCGGGGGCUCUGGAAGCAACAGUGGAGCUGACACGCCGCGGGAUGAGAGCACGUCAACAACAGAGGAUGAACGCUUGUCCACAUCAUCAUCAUCGCUGAGGAGGAGGACUCACUCUUUCUCUAGACAAGCUGGUGGUGCAGCUGGCGGUUCUGGCGUGGCAGUUUACCAGAAAAUGACCCAGACCAACUUAUCAUUGGACGAGGGGUCAGAUGUUGUGCUGCCAUUCGGCAGUGGGCUGCUUCGUGGUGGGCCAUCCUCCUCCUCUUCCUCGCUCCGCUCUGACUACAGCUCCUGCUCCGAGCACAGCCAGCAGAGCCGUCCCUCCACCCUCUCCCAAAUGGAGGCCGGUGGCGAGCGCCCGCCCCUUUCCUCCUCCUCUGCCAAGGAAGACAGCGGCUACAUGCCCAUGAUGUGUGGCGUGGCUGCGUCGCCGCGGGACACUCCUCCCGACUACAUGCCUAUGCAACCCGGCUCUUACUCCCAUCCCGUCUCCCAUUCCCCUCAGUUUCACAGCCCAGCUUUAGGUCCCCGUUCAACCCACCAUCACCCCCAGCCUCAGCUGCAAUCCUCCACAGACUCCCAAGGCUACAUGAUGAUGCUCCCAGGGGGCAGCGGCAGCUCCCCUUCUCCGGGACAUGCCUCCCCCAGCCCCCACAGUAGUUCCAGCAUGGCAGGUGCCAGUGGGAGUGACAGCAUAGCAGAAAGACCUGAGAAUGGAGAAUAUAUGGACAUGUCGUACAGCAGCAGUGGGGGGCGCAAGCUCACAAAUGAAGGGAGCAGUGGGUAUUACACACCUGGCACACCUGAGGGCACCCCAAAGUCUUACAGCCCGUAUUUUUCCCUCCCUCGCUCUUACAAAGCCCCCACUAGAGAGAGGGAUGAGAAGGAAUAUGGGGAGUAUGUUCCUAUGAGUUCUCCUGCCAAGCCAGUCUAUUCAUCAGUUGCCACAUCUUCCAUGUCAACACCAGAGAAGAGGGGUGGGGGAGGUAGUAGCACCUCCACUCCAUCUCACCCACCCCCACCUUAUGGAGCUCAUCAUACGACCACAGUGAUGGCUGACCGUCGCGUUGUGAGGCCUAACCGCCUCCCGUUAGGCAGAAGAAGCUUCCAUGGUCCUCUGCGGGUUAGUGAGCCCUCCACAGUGUCUGCGGGCACCUCCACCUCAGUCCCCACGACUGUCGGCCCAUCUGAAGUGCCCUCCAGUCCCGGAGAGUAUAUUAACAUUGAGUUUGGGGAUCACUACCCCCACCAACAACAGCCCCCCGCUUAUCCUCUCUCUGCCCAAGACGAAGCACCUUCCCUGGGAUCCAGUAACCACCGUCGCUCCCCUCCCCAGCCCCAAACUCAACAGGACUAUAUGAGUGUUGAGGUGGGAGUAGACCAGCAGGACAGCACUGCAUGUGUAGGUAAAACCCAGUCUCCCAGACCCAGCCUUGUGGCCCCCUGGAACCCACCCAGCUAUAUCCGACCCCUGGCUAGCAAUCCUGGGGUUCUGGCCUCCCCUGGAGUCCCUGCCGGAGGUCACUGGAGGUCGAUGGGGGACGAGUACACAGACAUGACUUUUAACCUCAGAGGUGAGAGGACGCAAACAAGCCCCACAGCCAUGCUGCAGCAUCUCUGUGUUAUAGAGGGACGUUACGGCCACGCCCCCUCCGCCUCCUCCUCCUCAUCCAUGUCUCCUCCUCUCCCUCCGUCGAGCCCAAGCAGGGCACCAACACACCAGCUGGAACCCAAGGUGGUUCGGCCCGACCCCCAAGGCAGGAGGAGACACAGCUCUGAGACAUUCUCCUCUACGUCCUCCUCUAAUUCAACUCCCUCUGGAGGAGGACUUGGGCCUUCAUCCUCAGCCACCCACACCGCACAGGUUAACCCCACGGCCCCUAAUGGAUCUUACCUAUUGGAGGGUCAAGCUUCCAAAUGGGCCAGCUCGGCAUCUUUUGACAGUAUGUGGGUGUCCAUGGACUGUCUAGGGGACUCGCCGGCUCACCACACUCCAUCAAGAGCCACGGAAGUGGGCACGGCCUCCGGGAUCUCGGCAUCCCCCUCCCCCUCGGGGGCCGGAGCUGCCAGAAUGUGCAGGAACAUGUCUGUGGGCUACCAGAACGGCCUGAACUACAUUGCCUUGGAGCUGAGGGAUGACGGGAGUAAUACCGCAGCCUUGGCGUCGGGAGCUGGUAGCAGCAAUGGUAGCUCAACGGCGGCGGUGGCGACGGCAGGGACGGUGCCUCUGCCGGAGAACGGAGCCUACGCCAGUAUAGACUUCAUCAAAUCUGAUGGAGUCACCACAACAACCAAGGGAUUUGGAGAGACUAUGACUGAGUGACGGGUCGAUAGAGGUUCCCUACCUUCCUCCUCAUCAUAUCUGCUCGGGGCACUUGACUCUGCUCGUGACCUAUGGCCUCCCCCUGCCGGUGACCUCUGACCUCUUCACCUACCCUGAGAGGCCGCUCCAUCCUGGGUGCAGAAAAACACCAACAACAUAACAACAGAUGACAAAAACGCUUGCGGUUUUUUAGUUUUUAUGUAAGGAGCUGUGUUUACUGACACCUGUGAGCAUCUUCCAACCAUGUUCUUUAAAUUGCUCCUGGAAAGGUGGUGGUGAGAACAUCAUCAGAGCCUCGGACUGACCCAGCUUAACGAGUGACGUCACAGGGUCAGACAGGGUGAGGAGUCACCUUUUUAUAUACAGUCUAUGGGAGUCACGGGGAGGUCCGAGUGAGCUGACCCAUCAGGGCAGCUGAUUAUAAUAAAGAACUAUAUUAA